rnacentral:lncRNA from 1 species
GGUCUCUCAUAUUCAGAGGAAGCCUCCUCACCCCCAGAGGCUUCACUCUCACCUCACAAACUCUCUCUCCCUCAAAUAAAUACAUAAUCAGUGUGGACGUAGCCCAAACCUUGGGGUGAACCACAAUACAUCUUGUGUUAUUUACAUUUCAUGCAGAUUCAUGAUCGGAUUUACGUUGUUCCAAGACCUUCGGUUUUGUGCAUCAACAUUUGGCACCGUCUGUGGGAAACGAUACGAAAAGUGAUGUCGGUUCUCUCUCAAGUUUUCACCCC